CGCGCCCGCUGCUGGGUCAUCGCCCGUUCUUGGGCGGGCGGCGGCUGGUUCUUUCCCUCUGACUAGGGGCUUAUCCCGGCACGGGGUUUCCUGGGAGAGGGGCGGAGGGCAGGGGCGCGCGCCCGGCGAGAGCUCUGCUAGGCAGCCGCUGCCUACUCCCCAGGGCAGGCAGAGGGUGUUCAGUAGCCCCCCAGGAGUUAAGGGGAUGGAGGCAGCACCCUCGAGGCAUUCAUUUAGAAGGGGGCUCUUUGCACGAUGCUCAGCAGCCCUUCCCCCCGCAGGGAGCUUUGCCCCACGGCAUCUGCCGGCCUGCUACCCUAAAAGCUAAUUCCUGAAUGUCAGUAAACGCCACAGAUCUUCUGCCACUAUUUUAAAUAAGUGAAUUACCUGCUUGGAACAACCACCUUAUUGAAAGGGAUAAUGAAUGAGCCAAUGUAUGGCACAGAACAAUCCGACGCUGGCAAGGCACUGACUAGAUGACCUAGCAGCACUCAUACUAUCAGGCAAGAUCACAGGAAAACCAGGAAGAGGAAGAAAGAGAGUCAGUUACACUGGAAAUGUCAUCAGGUGGACUGGCAUCCAAAGAAGAGUGGAGUUUUACAACUUUGUUGUGACCGCAAAAGAUGGAAGUUGAUGGUCAACAGCCUCUACGUUGGAGACCUCACUUGAAGAAGAUGCAGUACUAUAGUGAUUGCAAAAGCGAAGGAGGACAGGAUUGCAACUCAGGCCAUGCGUAAGUAAUAAGGAACUGGAGAGGCAUAGACCCGCACCACCUCCUCAGUCGGGAGCACGAGGGAAGAUACUGCGCAUGUAUGGGUCAACAGACAGCUUGGAAAAACUUCUGGACUCGGACACAUGGCAUGUAUGUGUAUCCACGUGUGGAAUUCACAUAGGGACCAGAACUUGAAGAAGAAUUGGGAUUGUUGAAUUCUAUUCCUAGCUCUGCUGCUGACUCCCUGUGUGAUCUUUGGCAAGUGAAUUAACCUGUUUGACAACUUACGCUUCUGUAAACUAGGGAUAAUAAUAUACUUCACAGACGGAGUGGUGUCAGGAGUUUCUGGUCUGCUUCCUGAUUAACUUUGCUUCUAGGUAACCCAUGAGACCAGCUGCACUGCUUUGGAACUGACAGAGUGGCCACAGCCCCUGAUUGGCUGCUGGUUUAGCAGCCCUACUGAUAAGCCUGGCCCCCCACAGCAGAUCAGCAGCUGCUCAAUGUGUACCAUGUCUUCAGCUGUGCUUGCCCUUGUUCCAGUCCCUGCUCCUGCAUUGUUCCAGCCUUUGUUGCAGUCCCUGCUCCUGCAUUGUUCCAGCCUUUAUUCCAGUCCCUGCUCCCCACCGGCUUCAGACUUCUGGCUUAGAUCUCCAGCUUUGCCUCUGGCUUAUGGCUCUGGUUGAUCAUCUAGUUCUGGCAUACAACGUCUGUCUCUCAGGAAUUGAUCCCUGGCUCUGUCUCUGGCUUACAUUUCUGAUUUACCCCCUGCCUCUGGCAUUUGGCUUCUGUCCCUCUGAUACUGACCCUUGGCUCAUUUCCUGACUCUGCCCAUCAUGGACCAGCUCUAACUGGUAGCCUGAACUCUUGCUUCCACCUGUGCACAGCCUUGUCGGCUACAAAUGGUGAGGCAUAAUUGAGGUUUGUAAAAUGCUUUGACGUAUGCAGAUGAAAGGGGCUUUUACCUAUGUAGAGUGUUCUUGUUACUUUACCAGCAUUUUAUAUUAUAUUCAACAAAACUUUUUAAAAGUAGCAGCAACAAAAGCCUGUCAUUUUGACAAGAACGAAAUAUUGCAUUGGAAAAGAAAGGAAAAAUUAAAAUGACAGAAUCCACUGAAAGGAAAAAGACAUAAUGGAGACAUCUGGCUCUGUGCUGAUAAAAGCUCUCACAGCUCCUAUCCCAUCAUCCCUUGCAGAGCUCAUCUGAAAGCGUAUCUUUCAAGGGUUUCCAAAAUGAAGAAAAACAUCUGUCCAAGUCUAACUAUGUUUGACCAACUGUUUAAAAAAAAAGUGUUCCAGUGAUAAAACCCUUAGGAAGAUAACCAUUUCUCAAACAAAAAGUCCGAGAGGGUUCAUCAGCCCGUUUGAGUAAUAAACAGAAGUGUGCCCUCACAAUCUCAGGGGUGACCUGCAAAUGCAUAUUAAACUCUCCAUUCUGUAUUACAUAAUUUUCUCUUCUUUUUAUAGCACAGGCUACCUGAGAAUUUACUCCCCUGAGAAGUUAAUAUCCCUCCUGGAACCUUUAGACACUUAUAAAAGCUGUCUGUAUAGCUCUGUUGGCAGCAUCUUGCCUCUUACUCAGAAGUCAUUGGGCUCAAUCCCACACUAGGCUUGGCUUCAUUAUUUUUAAUGCUGACACUGCAGUGUGGUAUUUGGAGUGGGGUGAGGGUUGCUGCUGCUGAGCAGAUAUUAAACUGAACUCCCUUUGUCUCGAGCUGCUGUGGCAUAUUUCAAAGAGAACUAGGGAUAGGGCAUUUGACUAGGACAUGGGGUUUUCUCAGUAAAACAGAUUCCCAGUACCAAGAUCUGUGUCAACUGUUGUGGAGCUCCAAAUCCUGCUCCUUCCUCCAUGCGCGUAGAGGGCCCUGCCUGAAGCAGUAGAGGUUCAGCGCCAUUGAGGGGGGAGGAAACAGAUUUUUUUAGAGACUGCAGCCAGGGGUUAUGCACACACCCAGCAUCCCUACAGAACUCAGCUCCGUAAGGGUUCCCACACAACCAUAUGCAGUGGCUGUUUGGAUGUAACACAGUAACAAUUGAUCUGUUGUUGCACAGAAUCUCCAACAUUGACCCAACAUGUGCAGGGGUACAGAGGCUACUGUAGUAGCACCAAGAUAGAUGUGGGGAGUGCGGGAAGAUCUCCUCCCUCAGCUCCCUCGGAAAACACCAGUAGCUAGCCUAGUUAUCCAGGCUGGGCACUGAGAACAGAUAUUUCCCCACAGUGCCUGGUGACUGCUGAUUUUGCUUUCACAGUCACUGCGCUAUGAAUAUCUAACGUAUUGUUGUAAAACACUUGGGUAUCUCAAAAGAAUGGCCAUACUGAGUCAGUAGUCCAGUAUUCUCUCUUCUGCCAGUGGCCAGUGAUCCAUCCUUUCAAAAGUCUGAAAGGUACCAUAGGAAAAUGCUAAUCUAAGAGAGAGAUGUCUUGCUAUAGGUUUAUAAUAAUGCCUCAUUUUCCAUGUCAGCUUUAGAAUUAUAAUGUAUCAGAUUGCAAUUUUCAAUGGGAAAUAACUAUGGUGUCUAAGAAACUGUGAUCUCAGUUCAUUGUUGGUUUCGGAAGUAGAGCUGCUGACACCACUUGGAAAGCCAUCCUACGUAGCAAUUCUGUAGAAAUGCAUAUCUUCUUUCCUUAGUAAUAAUACAGAAUGAGAGAAAGAGAAGGAACCAAUGACAACUGCAUAGAAACUAGGUCUCCUUGCGUGAGAGUUCAUCUCUUCCUGCUGCAUAUUCCCUACCUAAAAUUAUAAUCCUCUCUUUGUGAUCUAAUCAUUUCCACAGCAACCAAUUGUGAUAUCACAAACACUUCAUGUGGGGGGAAAAAAGCUGCAGGAAUAGAUGAACUCUGAAGAGCCAAAGCAUGCAUUUUUAUGCAAAUACCUUUAUUAAUAAAGAAAAAGGAGCAAAAUUCAGAAGUAUAAGAGAUAGCAGCAGACUUGUUUCUAAACAGACUGUUUUUCAUCGUAGAUGUCACCUGCUCUUAUAGAAAUUGUUUUCACUAUUGAAAGAACCUGCUCAGCUGGGACUCCACUGCCAACAAAGAUACAUGAGGAUUGUUGACUGGUGGCCCCAAACUGACCUUGGAGGGCAUAUGGUUUUGGGUAAAAUAUAAUCUAUUUGCUAACAUCCUUAGAGAAAUAAUAUACAUUAUUGAAGCUGUAACAGGAACUAGAAAAAUCCAAAUAUAUGUUUUAAAAAUAGGCUUGGCUAUAGGUUUUUAGUAUUAAGGGCUUAGUGAGGUCCAAAAGUAGUUGGCAGUUGAAUAAACUAACAUGAGUAUUCUGUGUUAGCAAAAUGUAUCUUGUGAUAGUUUAGAAAUGCACUAUGUGAUAAAUAGGUAAACUACAAACGAACAUACGGUUGUACCUUAGGGUACCUUUGCAAUAAGGUAGCCAUGCAGCUAACUGCAUUCACAUAUCAAAACUAUUGGUACAUUAACACAAAUGGGUUGCACCAGUGGUCAGAAGUUUAACUAGGCUUAGCUGGAAGAGCACACAUGGGCAGGGGCCAAAACCUUAUCAUAUAUGGUCCCGGACAUGCAUGGAUGAAAUAAGAGGUGUAUAAAAGAUUUAAAUAGAGACUGGGAGUGGCUGGGUCAUUACACAUAUUGAAUCUAUUUCCCCAUGUUAAGUAUCCUUACACCUUCUUGUCAGCUGUCUAAAAUGGGCCAUUUUGAUUAUCACUACAAAAGUUUUUUUUCUGCUGCUGCUAAUAGCUCAUCUUAAUUAAUUAGCCUCUUACAGUUGGUAUGGCUACUUCCACUUUUUCAUGUUCUCUGUAUGUAUAUAUAUCUUCUUACUAUAUGUUCUAUUCUAGGCAUCUGAUAAAGUGGGCUGUAGCCCACGAAAGCUUAUGCUCAAAUAAAUUUGUUAGUCUCUAAGGUGCCACAAGUACUCCUGUUCUUUUUGCGGAUACAGACUAACAUGGCUGCUACUCUGAAACCUGUCAUAAAAGAUUUAGUUACGCAACCUAUUGUUGGGGCACCAGGGGAAGCCUGGCCCAGUGCUCUCCUGUGAUCUCCACUUACAACUUUAUGGAGAGCCUUAGAAACAAAGAUGAAAGGAAAAUAAGUAUGUACAGUGAAAAACUAAAUAUGAACAUCUUAUUCUUAUACUUACGUAUAUUGAUUUUUCCCAGGAUUUCAAUUAUUUGUAUUAAGUAAAGCUCAUAACAUCUGUGUAUGCUUCACCAAUUUCAUCUUCAGAAUUAACUAGGUAGCCACCUGAAAAAGAACCGGUUAUUCAAGACAAGUACCUGUUGCACCUCUAUAAAUUUUAUAAUUAUAAUAAUUGAUCAGGCUAUAGUAUCAAGGCUUCUCUUCUAAGUCAUGCUUCAGAAUUAAGGAACUUUUUAGAGAACAUGCUUUUCUGGCCAGGUGCUAGUUUUUGGUUUUGUUAACUGGCUUUUCUUCCAGUCCCUCCUGUGAUUUUUUCAUGAUCUUCUGUGAAUUACAUUUAAAAACAAACAAUUAAACCUUGUCUUUCUUUUGUUGCCAACAGAAGCAGCAAAUUGAAUUGGCAGCUUGGAGUUGGCAUAGGCAUGAUGCAGAUGUGAUACACUCAUCCCUAGGAGAAAAUGUUAAGCUUAGGCUAUGGCUCCAUUUCUCAGUGGACUAAUGCAUGAAAUAUCAUUGAUAUGAUCUGUGGCCAAGAGUCCCUUUGGAAAAAAAAAAUAGUGUCACGGUAGCCAUCAGUAACAACCACUAUGGGGAGGUACAGAAUGACCUUUCACCAGAUGCAGACUUAACAGCAGUAGAGAUGCGCCUUAAGUAUAAGACCACAUAUAUGAACCAAAUAUUGAUGUGCUACAGCAAGGUAUGAAUUAUUCAGUGGGAGUUACUAACAGGCUUUAAUAGCAGUGUAUUAGGCCCAGCUUUAAGAGGUGCCACUGGACUCCUCGUUGUUUUUGUGGAUACAGACUAACACGGCUACCCCCAGAUACUUUAUGAGUAGGAAUCCCUUCUCACCAUACGUGCUGUUGUCUGUAGGACCCUGAUUCAUUGGUUGCUGAAGUUGGAAGGUGUGUAGGGAAUGUGGCAGAGAACUGCAGGAAGAGAAAAGAUGUUGCAUGGUUAAAACAACCAAAUGCUGCCCUGGAGAACUGGAUUCUAUCCCUGCCUCAGCCACAGAGUUCCUGUGAGAGGCUAGGCAAGUCACGUGAACCAACAUUUUCAUAGGUGACCUCUGUGUGUUCCUCAUUUUCUAGGCACCCCGCUUGAGAACACAUGGGGUCUGAUUUGCAGAAGUGCUGAGCACUCACAACUGCAACUGAGGUCAAUGAAAGCCGUGCUCUGAAAAUAUAAAAUGCUAGUACAGUACUCUGAAAAAUGUGGCCCUAUACUUCUCAAACUUAAUGCUCAGAAUAUGUUGGCACUUGAGAAUUUUGGCUUUAAUCUCUGUGCCUCAGUUCCGACUGUGUAAAAUGGGGAUGGUACCACCUCAGAUGUAACACAUGGGUGUUGAAGUUAGUUCUUUACAAACAUUAAUGAAUUUAAGACACUACGCUGACAGGACCAUAAAAAAGCCCAUGAGGAAAUUAAUAAUUCUGUAUUCAGUGCUGGGUUUUGCCAGUGCAUUAAACAGUGCAUAGGACCACACAGCGAAUGAUGAAGAUAAAAAGAAGUGGUGAAUAGCUGUUCAUUAAGUGAGUGCCAUCUAUCCUGUUCAUUGAAAAAGGCAAGAGUCCUGUAGAAAAAAAUUGUAUGUGAUCAUAUAGUUAAAAGCUAUCAUAAUGUGCAGACAUACAUAUGAGGGGUAAAUUACUAUAGCACAGGUAGCCUUAAUUCUGGCAUUUCCUAAUUGGAUGUUUAAUUUUGCAACCCUUAACAUAGAUUUUUUUUUAUGUAAUAUAUCUACCGAUGUAGAGAAACAGUGUGUGUAUGUAUUGAUAGGUUUCUAAUUUGUGCAAUAAUAUGAUAUAUCUAUCACCUGGGAACAUCAGUCAAAUUUUACUCUUCUACAUUGGUGAAAAUCUGGAGUAAUUUCUUUGCCAUUAGUAGAAUUUAUCUGGAUUAGGUGAGUUUACUAGAGCAAAAUUUGAUCUACAGUAAAAGCUUUGUAAUCCAACAUGUUGGGGGAAUGGGGGAGGUGGGGUGCGGGUUAGUCAAAAAUUUCGGUUAAUUAAGAGUUAUACUUACCAACGAAAUACCAAUUUUCAAAGAAUAAGAAUACAAUAAAAUGAAUAAAGUAUAAAAUAGUAUACAAGUACUCAGCAAUCCAGUAGUUUUCUAUACAGUAGGUUAUCUUAAAACACUACAUAUCGCUAUGGGCAGCGCAUGGCAUACACACAGAUCACUAAAAAUACACUUAACACUAAAACUAUACCGAACAUAAUUUAAUCUUUGAUGAUUCAGAAGGCACUUCAGGAUCUUGCAGUGCCUCAGGGUCAUCAUUAUCAACAUCAAUUAUCAUUGUAGAUGUUGAAGGUGUAGGAGAUUGGGCUGAAUCUGUAAUGACCCUAUGACACACCUUGGAAGCUGCUUUUUUGAAUAAAUCCCUGA